UCUUUCCCCAAAACAAAGUUAACACUUCGUCCUAUAAUAAGUAUUGUC
rnacentral:misc_RNA from 1 species